rnacentral:lncRNA from 1 species
UAAUAACCUUGUUCAAAGUAACAUAAAAAUGUAAAAAUACAAUAAAUUAAUUAAGACAUGUAGUGCCAAUCAAUGUAACCUUAAAUCCAAAAUAUUACACCAAAAUUCAAAUAAAAAUUAUUCACUAAGUAUGGUUACAUCUAAACUUAAAAGCGGUAGCAAAAAUAAUCUAUAUCUAUUAUUACGCAUCUAAAAAAACAUAACUCUUCAUCCUCAUGAAAUAGAUAUGCUGCUAGUUCUCACAAUGUAUAACUGAAUUGUUGCUCAACUUCCUUCAGCUUAUUUUGUAUCAUUUGUUCCAUCUUCACUCAAACUGCAUAUUCAACCUUUCAAGUAGCACAUUUUGCUUCUAACUCUUUCUCUAUACUGCAUACAUUGGAAGGUAGUUGACAUGGUAAAAAAUAUUGAGUCUUGUAUAGGUCUUGACUAUAUAUGAAAUCAUUUGGUAACAUGCAUUUUAAAGUUUGGAUGCACCAAUCCCCAUCUCAUCCUACAAACACAAUCCACAAGAGAUAUAAAACAGUCCAUAAAAUCAAAAUAUGUAAGAUACAUAACACAAUCGUACACGAGAAAUAAAAGAUGCAUGCAUGCAUAAUCUAAUUUGCACGCACAAGUCCCCAUCUCUUCCAUUUACGAACUUGCUUUUUUGCAAUUUGAAUUGUAGAAAGCUCUGCUAUUCAAAACUCUUUCUAUAGCCCCUACAAGAUAUUUUAACUAAUAAUCAAUAAUAAUUAGUCGCAAUGUAUUCAGCCUGUAAACUUUAACAAUUAUAGCAUAUUGGAAAAUCAUUGAUAGCUGAAAGAAUGCAAAUCAAUAAUUCACAAGUCAUAGCCUAUUCAACCCAUAAUGCACCCAUAACCACUAAAAAAGGGGAAUUAUAAACAAAACAGUGCAUUAAAUUUUUAUGCCUUAAAAAGGAUGUUAAAUUGGCAAGAAAAGUUACACAAAUUUUUCUCAUGUUCUACAUCUAAUUCAGUUACUUAAAUCGGUGCACAAUGCAAAAUCUCAAAAAUUUAAGUGCCUCAAAAAUUGGUGCACCAUGCCUCAUAAAACAAAUGUCUUAAUUAAUAGAGUUUAUAAUAACCUUUAGCAUGGGUUCAAUAGGUAGACACUUAGUUCAGCCAAUCAAACUGCAUAAAACCAUAAAAGAAUACCCAUAUGAACUCAAGAAAUUAAAAAUCCAUUAUUGUUUGCAAAUUGCAAGUAGAAAAGUCAUGCUUUAUACACGCCUUUAGUGAAUUGUACAUAUUCCUUUGGUAUGGUUAUAACAACUUCUCCAAUCAAAUUGGCAAUGGACGUGUAUAAUUGAUUGUAUAUAGAAAAAUCCAUAUAAAGUAAAACCUCAUUCCAAUCAUCCAUACAAAUUAAAGGGAAAAUGUUAAUCAAAACGUGUUCUAAAGAUAAAUUCUGUAGGCAUUAAUUUUGAAAUCUCAAAACACUUAUAAACCAUGAAUAAUUAAAGAGAAAUCUGUGUAGAUAGAGAGUGAAGCAAUCAGUCAACCAAGUUAAAAUGGAAAUAUAAAAACUGAGAUACAAGAAAGUCUUAUGCCUGAAUAAUAAAAUAACAAACAGAUUCUAAUUAUUUACUCCAACCACACCAAAAAUACUUGUCUCUAAACCAAAUACACCAAGAGAUUCUGCAGCCUUUAGGCGAACAAUGGGAUGCAAGGAAAGAUUAUCUACAACAGCUUUUAAUGUAGGGUUAGCAUCAGGUUUUUGCAUCCAACCCAACCUAUAUAAGGCCUCAUAUGCCAGCAGGGUUGAAUCAUCCCUCAUUGCUUUGAUGAGGGAGAUGAGGGCAUGGGAAUUUAAAUUUGAAUUUGAAGUCAGAUUUGGGGAUAUUCUGUUCAGGGGUGAUCAUUCAUAGAUAACCUUCAAUUAUGUCCUUAUCCUUCUGUAAUGAAAGUCUUCUAUAUUUGGUUAUUUUAAUUUGAGGUUUGCACAUAGCCAUUCUGUAACAUCACAGCUCACCUUAGUUCACUUGCUGUAAAAUUACUUCAGCAGUUAAACAUGGAUGGCACGAUUAAUCAUUAAUGGAUGAAUUUCAGAAUUUCAUUCACCAAAAACAUGAAUUCCAUGAUACGCUUCAAAGUUCGAGUCUUCAAGAAUCAAGAUAUAACAACAAAUAGACAAAGAACUCAAUUUGAAUCUCAUCCAAAAUAGGAAAACGAAUUAAUAACAGAACCAGCAUGCCAUCUCGUCGUCAACAGAUUUUGGGGAAAAUAAAUUAAUUACCAAUAAUUCCGAAAAUAGACCAGAGGAUGCGUGACUAAGGAAUCUGUUGUCGCCCGUUGUCAAUCGGAUGUUGGAGAAGUUGAUUUUGCAGAGAAGCAACCGCCAGCCGAGAGAGUUUGCAGUGUUAUGGUGGAGGAGAAUGUAUAUGAUGAAGAUGAAGAUGAAGAUGAAGAUGAAUACAUGAACUUGGGUUAAAAAAAAAUGGAUACAACUAAUUAUUGGCCAAUAUGCUAGGCCUAAGGGAAAGUCCAG